rnacentral:tRNA from 1 species
GGCGGCAUAGCCAAGUGGUAAGGCAGGAGUCUGCAAAACUCUCACCCCCAGUUCGAGUCUGGGUGCCGCCUUCA